CCCUUAGAUGUUCUGGGCCGCACGCGCGCUACACUGACGAAUGCAACGAGCUUAUAACCUUGGCCGAAAGGUCUGGGUAAUCUCCAAAUUUCGUCGUGAUGGGGAUAGAUUAUUGCAAUUAUUAAUCUUCAACGAGGAAUUCCUAGUAAACGCAAGUCAUCAGCUUGCAUUGAUUACGUCCCUGCCCUUUGUACACACCGCCCGUCGCACCUACCGAUUGAAUGGUCCGGUGAAAUCUCGGGACGGCGGCUUGGUCGCUUGCGUCCGACUGCUGAAACUUGAUUAAACCAUAUCAUUUAGAGGAAGGUGAANUCGUAACA
rnacentral:rRNA from 1 species